rnacentral:lncRNA from 1 species
GGAGGAUGUGCAAAGUACAACACGUGACCCCGGAGACGGAAGCUCUUCUCUACCUCCGUAAAGAUGAUCUCUGAUGAGCAGAAAUGAUCAUGCCUGGAGAACAGGGAUGGACAGUCCCGCUUCUGAAAGACCCUGUCUGGCUGAUGAUUCACGGUGCGCCGGGCUGACCCCAGGCCAAGAGACCCCACCCACAGUACCUGAGUGCUCAGCUGGGAACCAGACCAGACCUCAAAACAGCCAGCCCCCCAGCAUUGACCUGGAUGCCUGCCACAGCCUCCUCCCUGGUCUCCGGCCUCCCACCUCUGCUCCUCGGGCUCCUCUACCCAGCCAGUAACUGCAGAGAGCACUAAAGCACAGUCCUGGCAUCUCACUCCCUUAACCCUGGCCACGGCUUCCCAGUGCCUCCAAG